rnacentral:rRNA from 1 species
UACGGAGGGUGCAAGCGUUAAUCGGAAUUACUGGGCGUAAAGGGCGCGUAGGCGGUUUGUACAGUCAGGUGUGAAAUUCCCGGGCUCAACCUGGGGGCUGCACUUGAUACGUAGGAACUGGAGUGGGGAAGAGGGUCGUGGAAUUCCCAGUGUAGAGGUGAAAUUCGUAGAUAUUGGGAAGAACACCGGUGGCGAAGGCGGCGACCUGGUCCUUGACUGACGCUGAGGCGCGAAAGCGUGGGGAGCAAACAGG